CUAUACUAAACCACUACCCUGUACCCUGCUGGGGCCUAUACUAAACCACUACCCUGUACCCUGCUGUGGCCUAUACUAAACCACUACCCUGUACUCUGCUGUGGCCUAUACUAAACCACUACCCUGUACUCUGCUGUGGCCUAUACUAAACCACUACCCUGUACUCUGCUGUGGCCUAUACUAAACCACUACCCUGUACCCUGGGGUGGCCUAUACUAAACCACUACCCUGUACCCUGCUGGGGCCUAUACUAAACCACUACCCUGUUGUGGCCUAUACUAAACCACUACUCUGUACCCUGCUGUGGCCUAUACUAAACCACCACUCUGUACCCUGCUGGGGCCUAUACUAAACCACUACCUUGUACCCUGCUGGGGCCUAUACUAAACCACUACCCUGUACCCUGCUGUGGCCUAUACUAAACCACUACCCUGUACCCUGCUGGGGCCUAUACUAAACCACUACCCUCACUGUUGUGUUCACAGUGGUGUACAGGGCACUAUUCCCUAUAUAGUGUACUAGGACCCAUAGGGUUCUUGUCAAAAGUAGUGCACUCUGUAGUAUGUCUGGGAAUUGCCAGGGACCUCACGAUACGAUAUUAUCCCCAUACUUAGGUGCCGAUACGAUAUUAUCCCCAUACUUAGGUGCCGAUACGAUAUUAUCCCCAUACUUAGGUGCCGAUACGAUAUUAUCCCCAUACUUAGGUGCCGAUACGAUAUUAUCCCCAUACUUAGGUGCCGAUACGAUAUUAUCCCCAUACUUAGGUGCCGAUACGAUAUUAUCCCCAUACUUAGGUGCCGAUACGAUAUUAUUCCCAUACUUAGGUGCCGAUACGAUAUGUAUUAUGCUAUUUGACACUGAGAUUUCAUUGCGAUUCAGCGUUUUAAACAUAUCGCUCACCAUGUGUCUGCUGCAGAGGGACAAGAGAGAGACAUGAGAAAACCAGUGUCGAUCAGUCACGGAAAUAAAAGUGCCGAAAACAAACUGGCUCCCUAUUUCAAAAGAAGAUGGAGAACAAGCUAUGAAAGACAAAUCCCGAUCUUUGACCCCCCCACCCCUUCCCCAUCGAUACUACAGUAUAUAGGGAACAGGAUUCCAUUUCAGAUGCAAAUCCCAGGAGAAUAUCGCAGUUAUGACAUGACGUGAAAACCCGAUGAAUCAUCAGAGACAGACAAAUGACACACUUCCUCAUAACACAACUCUAUGAGUUGCAGCCCGUCACAAUCGAUUGCAGUGCCUUGACGGGAAACUAACAACCGAAACAAAACCUGAGCUAAUGAGAUGUGUGAGGUCGUAGCAGGGUGGACAGGGACGCGAUAACCAUAUCAAUCAUAUGGUUGGAGUACAGAGACUGUGAUCAUUAAGGAAACAUGUUCAAGAUUGAGUGAUCUUGAUCUGACAGAUGUUUGACUUGGUCAGUGUGUCACGGAAUAACUAAGCCUGUAUUACAAUUCAUUAGUCAAUCAGAAUAACUAAGCCUGUAUUAUAAAUCAUUAGUCAAUCAGAAUAACUAAGCCUGUAUUAUAAAUCAUUAGUCAAUCAGAAUAACUAAGCCUGUAUUAUAAUUCAUUAGUCAAUCAGAAUAACUAAGCCUGUAUUAUAAAUCAUUAGUCAAUCAGAAUAACUAAGCCUGUAUUAUAAAUCAUUAAUACAUCUGUUUUGAAUAUCACAGCCAGGAUAUUUCCUUAUUAGGUCAUAAAUACAGUUAGGUUCAGAGGAGAGUCCUGGGUGCUUUCGGAGUUAUUGAGUAUUUUUUAAAUGUAUUUUGUAUUAUAAUAUAUAUGUUUAAACCCGUCCCAACCAUCCACCACCCCGCUCUUCAGAGGACACAUCUUUAUAGUUGCUUUUUUUACAGCUUUUCUGCUACAUAUACAUGUUACAUACAUGGUACAUACAUGUUACACACAUGGUACAUACAUGUUACAUACAUGGUGCAUACAUGUUACAUACAUGGCACAUACAUGUUACACACAUGGUACAUACAGGGUACAUACAUGGUACAUACAUGUUACACACACGGUACAUACAGGGUACAUACAUGGUACAUACAUGUUACAUACAUGGUACAUACAUGUUACAUACAUGGUACAUGCAUGUUACAUACAUGGUACAUACAUGUUACACACAUGGUACAUACAGGGUACAUACAUGGUAUGUAACAUCAGUCACAUAACAAUAAUACAUGACUGAACAUAAACUCUUUAAUCCCACCCCUCCGCUACUCUCAGCCCAUCCCACCUAUCACCAUAGACCUCAACUCUGUAAUCCCACCCCUCCGCUACUCU
ensembl:lncRNA